CUGACCUGAGCUGAAGUUGGACGUUCAACCGACUGAGGCACCCUGGUGCCCCAUGAGCAAGACACAUUUCUGUCACCAUGGAUUCCUCCAACAUGAGUGAAAAAUUGGAAUGACAGUAUCGGAAGGUCUGGGGACAUCUGUCUGUCACAAAGGAAGCAUGGUAGCUGCCAACCCAUUGUUUAGAAGAAUCCAGGGAAUGGCUCCAGGUCAAGAGUGGAUGAGAAGGGCCAAGCAGUUACCUGUUUCUCCCGGGGAAACUUCAGAUAUAGCCCUCACAGAGUGAUGGUCUAUACCCAUAAUAAUGGCCAAGACCCAAGACAGUGCUCCAUUCACAUUGCUGCAGGUGUCACCUAUGAAUCACAAGGACAGCCCCAAAUCCUGCAGCUCUCCCUUGCUCUGCAAAUGAAGGCGGCAGCAAUGAUCAAGACUGGAAUCUUCCCAAGGCUCACCUGUAUAUCCCCAAAUAGUCCAUGUGUAUCUACUACGUGUUGGGUCCCAUUCUGGGCACUGAAGACAGAGGAGUGAACAAGGUGAGUUCUCUCAUGGAUUUGGGUACCAUUGGCGGUGGUGGGGGGAUACUUCCAACAAGCAAACAAGGAAAACCUCAAGAUAGCUUUCUUCCACCCCCUUAGAUCUGUCCUCAAAGGGCACUUUCUCGGGGAGUCCUUUUCCCAUGACCGAAGUGAAAUUCCCUCCCUCCACACACCCUCACACAUAUACCACAGUACUCAACCUCUCAUGCUGUAUAUCCACUACCUGGCUGUCCCACUAGAAUAUAAACUCAAUAACGGCCGUUUACUUCAAUGUACCCCCCUUGCCUAAAAUAUCUGGUACACAGGAGACACCCAGUAGGUAUUUGUUGAAUGAACAUGUGAACUGUGGACAGGAAGAGCCGGUCUAAUUAACCCGGAAGCCGAGAGUGAGCCCGCGGCACCACUCACUGAAGAGACAGAGAGUGGGGUCAGUGGGGCUGGAUGAAAGAAGCAAGACUGAGGAGGUGUGGAGGGCCAGUCGGGUGGGAUUUUCCUUUCAAUCGGAGUGUGAGGGGAAGCCAGAAGAUGACGUUACUGGAGUCGGAAUGCCAUGUGAACGCUGGGGGUGGGGGCGGGGGUCUGUGGAGGGUGGUGCUGGGAUCUGACGGAGGCAGGGAGACCACUCGGGCUACCCGGCUGUCCCGGCAGGAGCGGCUCACUGCUUGCACCAGGGCAAGGGGA